AUGUUAGCCUCAGAAGGCGUAAUCUAACAUUGCACAAUAUUUAUACAACAGUUGUUAUAAUUUGAACUUACUACCAGUUUGCUCUUUGAGGAAAGUAACAUUGAGAGCAUAACUUUGUUCGACGUUACAACUCACAAGCAAGUAAUCAUUCUAUCAGCGAGGAAAAUGUUGAAAUUCAUAUUACUGAUUUUAUUAAUCGCUCUUGUGUCUGUAGGAAUGGCCCAAGAUGGUUGCAUGCCCAAAGGUGUUGGUUGUAAGCCCGCCUUGGGUUACAACUGUUGUGAUGGUUAUACAUGUGUUGAAGGUUCACCAACAGGAAUGUGUCAAUAAAUGUAAAAGUUAUCGAUACGCUUCUGAAUUCUUAAAAAAUAAUAAUAAUUGAUAAUAAAGCGUAAAAUAAAAAUGUACCCAAGUGUAUAAUCAAAAUAAAAAAAAAUUUC